rnacentral:ribozyme from 1 species
CCUUCGACCUCUACACCCCUUAUUUAUGUCGCUUCCUCGUCUGAAUCCUGUACACAAUCAAGAAUUGUUACCAAGACAUUUAAUCAAAGGAGUUAUCAACGAAAACGUCUUGAAAUUGGAGGAUAGCU